GAGUCUCGCUCUGUCACCCAGGCUGGAGUGCAGUGGCGCUAUCUCGGCUCACUGCAAGCUCCACCUCCUGAGUUCACGCCAUUCUCCUGCCUCAGCCUCCCGAGUAGCUAGGACUGCUGAUCUCUGUAAGUCUUUAGAUUCCUGCAAAGUUCUGUGAUGGGUAUCUGAGAAUUCAGACAGCUUCUAGUUCAAGAAAUAUACCUGCAAAACAUUGAAGCAAUGAAUAAGAGUUCCUGUUUCUCCACAUCCUUGCCAGCAUUUGAUGUUGUCAGUGUUCUGGAUUUCAGCCACUCUAACAGCACCCCACAAAAAAAAGUCCUGGAGCCUGAACUAUGAUUAAAUGUAAUAUACUGCAUGCCAAUGAUUUUGAGCAUAAGAUGCAAUCAGUGUAUGAUAAGCUACCGAUCACCCCAAGGGUGAGUCUUCUUCAGCUGGUGUUAUUUUGUUUUGUUUUUAACUUUUUUAAAAUUAUUACUAUUAAAUGCUUAGGAAAAAGUAUUAUUUUUCCCAAUAAGAGCAGUGUAAAAACUGUUCUGACCUAUGUGAUUUACCAUAAUUAAUAAGCCAAUUUUAACUAAGAAAAAUUUAAAAUAAAACCUAUUGCUGAAGCAAGAUGAGAAAAUCUGACAAAAUUCUAACAGCUGCCCUGGAUAAAAGACACAACUAAUUAGUCUGGGUAAAUCCCCUUUUGUUAAUUAUUUUAAUAAUUACCUGAUGAUAAAC
rnacentral:lncRNA from 1 species